rnacentral:rRNA from 1 species
CGGGACGGGUGGGUAACGCGUGGGUGACCUGCCCCAUACCGGGGGAUAACAGCUGGAAACGGCUGCUAAUACCGCAUAAGCGCACAGAGCUGCAUGGCUCGGUGUGAAAAACUCCGGUGGUAUGGGAUGGGCCCGCGUCUGAUUAGGCAGUUGGCGGGGUAACGGCCCACCAAACCGACGAUCAGUAGCCGGCCUGAGAGGGCGACCGGCCACAUUGGGACUGAGACACGGCCCAA